UGUUGAUAAAGUUUAGUGGCUAAAACCAAGAAAGAAAAUCGACACAUCUUAACACUUUUAUAAUAAAAAGACGUACAAACGAUGGACGGAAGGACAAACGAUGUGUUUGGAAAAAGAGGCACAAAAAUAACAGAUGUACAUACCCUUGACACCCUGAUGCUUCAAUAUGGGUCCAUGGACCUCAAGGAGGGUCAGUGUUUUUUACAAACCAUACCCAAGACAUAGUGUCAAUUCAAAUAGAGUAGUAGCCACAAAAACACAGUAAAGAAGGUUGAUAAAACUGUUGAGCCAAUAUUUGUAAUUUUUACCAAAUAACUUUUAUUACCCUUUUACUGAAAGAAAAUUAUAAAAAUCAAGAAAUUAUAGUAGUGCAAUGUGAAAAGAAGAAAGGGAAUUUGGACAGUGUAGGCAAGUAUGAAGCACAUUCACUGGCAAAAGCAAUAUGCUUAUGUUUAGAAAUGUGUUGUGAGCUGAUA